UACGUAGGGCGCAAGCGUUGUUCGGAGUUACUGGGCGUAAAGGGUGUGUAGGCGGUUCUUUUAAGUUUGGUGUGAAAUCUCCCGGCUCAACUGGGAGGGUGCGCCGAAUACUGAGGGACUUCGAGUGCGGGAGAGGAAAGUGGAAUUCCUGGUGUAGCGGUGAAAUGCGUAGAUAUCAGGAGGAACACCGGUGGUGUAGACGGCUUCCUGGACCGUAACUGACGCUGAGACACGAAAGCGUGGGUAGCAAACAGG
rnacentral:rRNA from 1 species